UGGACGCUUCUAAAAGAUGUUUUGUAAUGUUGCACAUGCAACGUGAAAUAAUCAAUUUCAAAGUGCAGCAGGUUAAGGGUGAUGGUUAUGCAAUCAUUAGGAUGGUACAACAUGUCUUCACGUCCCUGAAUCCGCAGUAACCUUCCUCCGUCAUGGGGUUACAGAUUAACCAAAGUCGUAUGGGAUUAGGAGGACAUGAGGACUCAACACACGGACAAAGGCUCGUCUGCUUGGAGAUGGUCCUUGAGGGACCUUCUGUGAUUACAUAAGGGUACUUCAAAUAUGCAGUGUUCCCAUGUCUGGUGGUCCCAGAGGUCCCAAGACCAGUGGUUCGAAGACCUGUCAUGGCCUCCCUCAUCUCGGCACGGAGGCCACUCUUCUCCCUGUUGUCAAGGCCAAGGAGACUACCAUGGCCACAAGUACCAUUUCCCUCUCCUUCAUCACAACCAUAGAAGCCCUGGCCCUUCCUUUGGUUUUGUCCAGCAGGAAAGAUUCUCUGGUUUCACACAGUAGUUUGUCCUACUCCAGUUCUGUCUGUUCUGUCAUCAGUUCCACCAGUUCCAUUGUGGCGCUGUUCAACUCCGCCAGCUCCACCAUGGUCCCUUCUAGAGAUCAACCGAUAAUCGGUUUUACUGAUAUUUUUUCUCAUAUUUAAGCAUUUUUCUAUAAUCGGAUGUGGGUUUUGUAAUAUCAGAUCCUCCAUUAAAUGGCACCAUGUUGUGGGCAUAUUGAGAGUUGCGUAUAAGACCAGCAUUACUUCACUGUGUCUGAUGGGAGACGAGUCAACAAUGGUGUGCAUAGAUGACUGAAAGCAGGAAAAAUCAAAGUAUGGACUUACUUCACACAAUCAUUGCCAAGGGUCGAAGUGUGCAAAGAAUGCCAAAGGAAUUUGAGUGCGGGGUUAAAAAGGCAUCAAGCCACAUUCAAGCUAUUCCUCUCCAAAAUGUUUGAAAAGCAGACAAAGUGGCAAACAUCUGAUGUCCGCUCGAAAAUACUUGACUGGAUGAUUACAGUGAUAAUUUAUACAGGCAAUCAGCCUUUCACCAUGUUUAAAAAUAAAGGAUUCCAGAGACUCAUGGCUACUGCAGAACCAAGAUAUCCACUAAAGAGUGAAAAGUUCUAUCACACAGAAGGGGCUUUCACACCGGAGGAACGUUUUCACAUUUCCUAGAACUAUUGGCGGAGGCACCCAGAUUUUUCUGUGUUCGCACUGCAGGAACUAGGAACGAUUUUAGUUCUAGGAACUCCUUUUGGGGGAACUAAAUUAGCUCCUACUUCAGAGUAGGGUCUAAACCAGCACUGUAGGAACUACCAGUGACGUAAGUGUAUGUUGAUUGGCUGAAUGCAGGUGAAACACCAGCACCACCAUAAAAAAAAAAAAAAUAAAAAAUAAAUAAACUUAUUCACACGCAGUUUAUAGCCUAUAUAUUUACUCCACAAACUAACUCUAUAUGAACAUGAAAAACAAUGAUAGAUGGACCUCUCAAGUUAAGAAGAAAAGUGACAUUGGACAUCAACCACACAGCAAACACUAAUACUUUUCAUAUACUGUCUUCUUUCUUUGUAUAACAGUUCUAUCUAAUAACAUAUUAGCCAGCCUGUUAAACAAAUUGUAAACUAAUGAAGAUGGAGAAUCUGAGCGCUGUGUGCUCAGGCUCUGGCGUUCUCAGCGCUGUCAAAAUGAAAGUCACAACAACAAGCACAGCUUACGUCACUGCAUAGUUCCUACUGGCGGUGCAAAUGCAACCAGGAAAACGGCCCUAGGGGAACUAUUAGUUCUCAGGGAACCACCCUGGUGGCUAGUUUCUAGAACUAAGUUCCUAGAACUACCUGGUGCGAAAGCCCCUAGAGUUGUUACCAAGUUGAAAAGCUGCUAAAGCCUAAUAAAGCAGAUUAUAACUUGGCUUUUACCAUAGCCUGCUGGUGUGGUGCAACUGAAUCCCUAAUGAGUCUAACAUGCCAUUUCAUUGAUGAUCAGUGGAUUCAAGGACAAGUAAUCCUAAACACAAAGCAAUGAUUGCAUUAGUGAGACAUGCUGGAAGAAUGGGAAAUUGACAAAGAUAGAGUGGUUCUUGUUCUCGGGGACAGUGGUGCUAACAUUUUUAAAGGCAUGAGAAUUGCUGAACUGCCUGACAUGAGCUGUAGUGCCCACACACAUUACAGCUUGUUGUCAAUGAUGGCCUUAACUCACAAAGAGCUGUUCAAAAUAUUCAGUGUUGAGAAGCUGUGAUACCCAUUUCAUUAAUUCAUUACUAGCCAAACAGCGUCUAGCACUGAUCCAGCAGGAGCUUGGCCUACCUGUACAAGCCAUCAUUCAGGCUGUCCCAACCCGAUGGAAUUUCACAUUGCACAUGCUGGUAAGGAUGCAAGAGCAAAAAAGGGCUUUGAACAUAUAUGCUAGUGAUCAUGGUGGGUUCCCCAGCCUAUGUGCUGAGCAGUGAAAUAUUGCCUGUAAUAUUGAGACCCUUGAGAUAAGCCACUACAAGACUUCAGUGUCAUUCCUCCAUUUGUCAAACUUCUUAAGAUGUUGCUCAGCAGCCAAGGCCCCUCCUCUCAUGGGAUUAAAACAAUGAAACAAGAGAUGCUGGAGAGUCUCAACCAAUGGUUUGCAAAAGUGGAGGUGGUGAAAAGUGUGUCUUUGCCUGUCUUCUGAAUUUAAGAUACAAGGCACAUGCAUUUUCAUCUGACAAAUGCUAAAGAUUGGCUUAAGGAGGAGGCUGAUAGCCUAGCAACACAACACACAAACCACACAAGGUGAAGGGACCCAGUCAGUUGACUAAAAAGUCAGGCCUAAACACGAGCACAACACAUCCCUAAAGUGCCAGCAGAGAUUGUUAACUAGACUAUCCCCUGUGAAGGCCUCAUCGACAUGACAGCCAAUGGCACAGAUCCUCAAUAAACCCGUCUCCACAUCAGCGUGAUGAAUCCGAUCUUAAACCAGAUGGAACUGGAUUAAAUAUUUUGAAUAUUCCGAUCCCAAUCUGACUUCUGACCUGUAGUGCUGCCUGAAUCAUAAUCAUGCACUGUUGGUUUGUUGGCCAGAGGAGAACUGGCCCCCGACUGAGUGUGGUUUCUCCCAAGGUUUUUUUUCUCCAUUCUGUCACCUGAUGGAGUUUGGGUUCCUUGCCGCUGUCGCCUCUGGCUUGCUUAGUCGGGGACACUUGAUAUUCAACAAUAUUACUGAUCUGCCUGCAUUGACACCAUUGUAUUCAAAUCAUUUAUUUGUAUAGCGCUUGUCACAAUACAUAUUGUUUCAAAUUAGCUUUACAGAAAAUGCAUGUCAACAUUACAAUUUGUGUUUUACAAGUUAUGUAAUUUCAGAAAUGUAUAUAAACAAAUCAUGCAGUUAGCUAACAAUGUAUUAAUUUAAACAAUGUAUUAAUUUAAAGCAGAAACAAUGAGCUCAUUGAAGUAAUGAAUAAAUGUUAACAAUGAUUAGGAUCUAUAGAAACAUUUUUGCAUCGGCGGUGCAUGUUGAUCCAGAGUUUGUGUCAUCUGAAGUUCUCGCAGCGGUUGGGGUCAUCUCUUCACAGGUGUUAAGGCAUCUGAAGUCUUCAUAAGAGGCUGGAUUCAAACUGGUGCUGAUGUACUCUCUAGUCACCUCGGGAUGGGCAUCCUGAGACAAGACAGAAAAGCAAUGGAAAACAAUUAGCGUAGCUGCUGUUCAUAACAUUAACCAAAGAGAAUCAUGCGCAUUUGAUCUUAUAUAAAAGGUACAAGGUUAUGAGAUGCAUUAUGUGAAUGCUUGGCAAAAGAGAUGCGUCUUUAAUCUAGAUUUAAACUGGGAGAUUGAGCCUGAACCCCGAACAUUAUCAGGAAGGCUAUUCCAGUGUUUAGAAGCCAAAUGUGAAAAUGCUCUCAUUCCUUUAGUGGACUUAGAUAGGUACUUCCAGGAGCCCAGAGUUUUGAGAGCAUGAUGGAUUGUAGGGUGAUAGAAGAUUGGUUAAAUACACAGGAGCUAAACCAUUUAGGGCCUUAUAAGUCAAUAGCAAUACUUUGUAAUUGAUACAGAACAGGUAACCAGUGUAGAGAUGAUAAAAUUGGUGUUAUAUGAUCAUAUUUUCUUGACAUAGUAAGAACUCUAGCAGCUGCAUUUUGGACUAAUUGUAGCUUGCUUGUUGAGGAUGCAGGACAACCAGCUAGUAACGUAAACAGCAAUCUAGUGGUCAUGAAUGCAUGAACUAACUUUUCUGCAUCAGAAACAGAUAACAUGUUCCAUAGCUUAGCAAUGUUUCUGAGGUGGAAGCCUGUUUUUGUAACAUAUGAAACACCCAGGUCUUUAACUGUAGAGGUUGAAGUAACAGUACAUCCUUCUAGUUGCAAAUUGUAUUGUAAGAGAUUCUGUGGUUUUUGGUCCAAUAAGUAAUACCCAAGUCUUAUCUGAAUCUAACAGAAGAAAAUUAUAGGUCAUCCAAUAUUUUAUAUCUUUAAUACAUUGUCAACUUGGAUAAUGUAGAGGUUUCAUCUGGUCAUGAUGAAAUAUAUAACUGAGUAUCAUAGGUAUAACAGUGGAAACUAACUGUAUGUGAACUGAACUGAGCUAGACAAUGACAUCACUGUUUUCCCCAGAGUUGCUGUAUAGA